UUAUGUCAUAUUUGGGGACAUAGGACAUGCAUUGAGCUUGAUUAGUUGUGGUGCUUAAGUGUCAUAAAGAGGCACUAAGCAAGUGAGUGUUGAGAUAUCACCUUGUGACAUUGAGCUAGACCGUUUGGUUACUAGUAGCUAUUGCCAUGUUUGAGACAUGAGGGUUGGAUACUUGAGCCAUCGACUACGCUUGUUGCCAUUUGUGCUCAUUCGCACAUGCUUGUGAGGGUCGCUCCCUACAAGCCGGCACUCCGGAGUUAGCCUACGCGACUAUGUUCGCUCGUGCGGUAUUGAGAAGCCUACGGGGUCGAGUGGGACAGAUACAUUCCAAGAGUAGGGAUGUUGGGCUACCACAGGCACUUAGGCGGCACAAGCCGGACUACCUUUGGUAGGUCCUUAAUUGGAAAUGAAAAUCGACAUGGUGUUGAGUUUAUAAUAAUCACUACUAGAUAGAGAAUAGUAGUUGGAUUACUUGGACUUACUUCUAGCAUAGUUUGAGGUACUUGGAUGUACAUGCAUACAUGUAGCAUGCUAGGAGAUAUUGCUUAUUGCAUUCAUAUAUACAUUGUUGCCAUGAUAAAGCAUGAUCUUCAUAAUUUCAUAAAGCAAAUAAUGAUUAUUAUUUGAGGUCAUGUUGGGACGUACUUGUUCAUAAUGAAAUAGGUGUACAUCAUAUUUGACACAAUGUAGUACCUUAGCAUUUUUAAUUAUGCUUUCAUAAAUACAAUUUAUUCAUUACUAUUGCUCUUCCUUGUCUUACCUUUUUCUUUUGGGGCCUAGUGGUGCAUUGAGCUGAGGUCAGUAAUUGCCCACUGGGAACUAUAAAUUAUAGUUCUCACGCCCUCUGUUUUAUAUUUUCUUUCAGAGCCUUCCACGCCGGGAGAGGCUAGGGACCGCGGAAAGGGAGUUGCUUCGAGCUAGCUUUCUUUGAGGGCGAUUCGAUAGGUGGUCUACUUCUCGUUGUUUUAUUUUGUGAGAGGUUGAGAGUUGUACCCGUAUAUGUAUAGAGACCACCUUUCUUUUGGAUUUUUGUAUUCCUUUUGAGGGGAUAGUAUUGUAUCACUUUAUGCUUUACUUUCUUUAUCUAGUUAUAUUUCUUUUACUCUGGUUUAGAUGAUAGAACUUUACUCGCUCUGAUCUCAUUAGUUAUUAUUAUGCUAUUUGUUCUACUUCUUGCUUUUACUUCCGCUUUUGUUGUAGACGCCUUAUAUGUAUAGACAUAUGGCGGGUCUGGGCACGCUACCGGGAGGGCCUCCGCCGGUCCCAGGGCGUGACAGAGAAUCAUAACUGUGGGUAUGUUGGUUCUCCUCGCCCGAUAGUGAUUCAACGGGUAUGUUGGUUCUCCUCGCCCGGUAUGCCAUGAGCUAGAGCUCGAGAGACUUGUGGUCCGGGGUUCGAUGGCAUUCCUCUCCCCGUGGCAGACCUACAGUCGAGAGGAUUUAAGGCUGAGGUGCAUGUGAUAGUUCCUUCACCUCGAGCCUGAUUGAGCGCGGACUAUCCGUGAUUGAUUGACUCAAGACCGAGUCGAGUGGCAUAGUUGGCGAAGAUAAAGUAACCUUAGGAAAGGAUGGAAAAUGAGCUUAAUAUGGCUAAGGUGUGAGUACCCUUAGUAAAGAGUAAAGAACAGCUAAUGAGUAAAGAAUGAUUAUGCUAGGGAAUAGCAAUCAAUAAAGUAUGGCAAGAACUAAGAAUAGCUAAUAAGUGAGGAAUGAUUAGCAAUAAAGAUUGGUUAAGAGUAAAGAAUUGUCAAGAAUAAAGAGUAGAAUCAAUAAAUCUACU
rnacentral:lncRNA from 1 species